GGGCUUGUACCGGUUUCGACGGGGGUCUAGAACUUAGGAUAGCCAUCCGCGGCCUCAUACCGCGUCACCAAAUGAGAAAUUAAAUUUAAACGCAGACAAUAGUUUCGCGUUCGCAGCCUAAGCGCUGCGUGUCGCCCGCUUGUAGCCUACUGCAUGCGGAUACGGCAUCAAUGAGGUAGGGAACUUCGCCCGCAAAGCUUUGAGCGGGUGGAAGAACUAUGAAGCUACCGGCGUUGUCGGUUUGUCAGGUGUCUGACAGCUCCGGGAAACCUUAAGCAACUGACUGCGAUGGGAGAAGUCUUAACGGAAGGGCUUUCGGACGCGGGUUCGACUCCCGCCAGGUCCACU
rnacentral:tmRNA from 1 species